UUUUCACUAGGGACACACACACACACACACACACACACACACACACACACACACACACACUUUACUGACAUGGUGCACAUUCUUUGCACACAAGGAAGAAAGUGAGCAGUAAUGAAAACACACCAAUAAUGGAAUUGAUGGAGGGAGCUGUGGGGAAGCUGGGGCUUAGAGUUACUUAAAGGCCCUAUGCAGGCUCUCCUUUUGUUGGAGGAGAAAUUUCAAGUGCAAUGUGGUUCUUUAUUUUCUUUCUCUAAAGCACAGAGGGCUAGGGUGGAACACAGGGCUUUGAGCAUGUUCGGCAAGUACAGUCACACUGAAUUAAAUCCUAGGGCUGGAACCCUAUUAAUCUUCUACAGAAUUACAGAGCAGCCUGGAUGAAGACUCUCAGCUGAAAAGGUGGACAUCUCAAGACAGGCACUGGACAAUGGCUGACAGACUUGACUGAAGACUGGAAAUGUUUUGCUAUCUCAUAGGAAAAGAAGGCCCCUCCUACCACACUGUACUCUAAGGACAGUUUAUUCAGGUUAGGAUGACAUGAACUAUUGUCUCAUGUCACAGAUGUCAGCACAAAGUAUCCAAGGUAUUGUAUGCCAAUGGUAGCAUUAACAGAACAAAGCACACAGUGUCAUGAAGACAUAAAUCAUGAGUUUGUGUAGCAAGACCCAGGCCUCUUCCAGGUUCUUAGAUAGUAACUGAGAACCUCAAAUAUGGUAGUGAUGUGAUAGUGUGGUGUGAAUCUAGUUACAACUAGUUAUUGUGACACAGAUGACUCUUUUUGUGUCAUGGUCAGCUUAUAAUGAAUGACUAGACCUAAGCAUGAGAAUAACCAAAUACUACAUUGCUUCUCUAGCUGCUGAGCUUUUAAAAGCCCUGGGGUGACAGCAAGCUUUUGUGGACAUUCUGGAUUGGUCCUUCUGUACUUUAACUCUCUGAGUCACCUCCACUCUCAGUAAGUUAGUUCAAUUCCAUAAAUUGGAAAUCUGUCACCUGGAAAAAAUACAUUCUCAAUACGAUCCCAGAUUGGCCAUGGAAAAAGGGUAGCUUGAACUGUCCCACCUAGGUUCUGGGCUUGCACAGGCCUGCUCUCCAAAAGAAACCUGUGUUCACAGCUGCAGGCUACAUUCACUAUGGAUGCUCUUGAGGUUCCUCCCUAAACUGCUUAGAUUAAAAUAAUUUUCUUGCUAACAAUCAAAAAACUAUUAUGCCAAUCUGGCCUACAGGAAGCUAGUUUCUAUUCUGUAUUUUAUCAGAUGUGCAUAAUACAUAUGGUCAUCAUUGAUAAUAGGUGAAAGUUCUGCUCUAAUAUGGAAACUAAGUGAUGCUGGAGGAUGAUCCUGACCCACAAUGAGCAGUGGGAACACCAGAGCCCUGUAGGGAUGCCUGGCAACCUAACACAUUGAGCACGCACAGCUCAGUAAGUUACCUGUGAACACACAUCUCCUGAGAUCUCUCUAUUUAAUUGGAGGUGAUCCUGUCCACCUAAUACAGCACCUCAUGUGGAAUAACAAAAGCCACCUGCAGGAGCUGUGGUGAUGACUCACAGGUUAGAGCAUCUGCUGCUCUCUCAGAAGAACCACAUGGACCCUAACAAUUGGGUGCUUCCUACACAAGAAGUCACAUGACCACAGAGUGUCAUUUGUCAAAGAACCAAGAACUUGUUCAAAACUCUACAUAGGAUCCAAUCUAUCACAUGGAUAUGCAAUAAUGAGGUAUGUUAUUCAUCUGUCACCAUUUCUAUACUGCAGCUUCAAAAAGAGCAGCAAAAUAUACUUGCAAAAUAAUUCAGUUUCUGAAAAGUGGUUAACUUCCCAGAAUACUUGUGCAUAGGCAGAGCAAUGAACAAUUCCAUUACAUGAGGUGGUUGGCUGGUUGUGAGUGUAAAUUAGAAAGGUGGUAGGAGAAAGCAAAGAUGUAUCAAAUUGGCAAAUUUUAUCAGAUAUUGUUAAGCUAACACAGCUGCUUGUCCCUACCUGAUGAUGCUGGGUCUGGACGUUGCUGGUCUUUAUCUUUCUUGUUGAAGUCAACCAAAUAUUUCUGGUUCAGUGCACAAUCAAGAUGGACCUCCUUGCUCCCCUGCUUCAGUGGGACCAACUUCUUCCUACAUGUGUUCUCCAUCAGGAGCUGGCUGAGCAGGUUUCUGGAAAUACAGUCUGCAUAGUAAGAUCAUGCUGCCCCUUUCUCCCAUUCCUACUCCCAAGUCCCACUAACUCUACCAGGUCCCAGAUACCCAUGAAGACUUAAUAAAAUGCAUCUCGAUACAUAUAAGGCUGCUGCACAAACCACAAAGAGUUAAUUUGGGGAAGAAUAAAUUGUUUGUUUGGCCUGAGCACCAAUUAGUGUCCACAUCUCUCAAAAAGAACAUGGAUCUACAACUAUCCAUGAAAGCCCAAUGCAUGGGGGCAACAUCAAUUAGUAGUGGGCCAACACCCUCAAAGGAGGUCAGUAGAACCAAGAGAAGGUCAUGCUAACCAUGUGGUCCACGCACUGAGUGUUGUAAAACCUGGUAUGACACCAUAGGUCCAGGUCAGCCUAAUAACCUUCUGCUGACUUCAAUCAGUACUGUUCUAUCUAGAGCCUUCUGAAGAUGCCUAGACAAUCCUGGGAUGAGUAACAGUCUUUUAUGGAACUGAAAACUGAGUCCUAAUGACCCUGGCACACUGAUGUGUAAACAGCACAAGAGAUAGAAUCAUAGCUGAAGACCGUCCAAUCCAGAACAAAGAAAGUCAGAAAUGGCCAUUCCACAAGUGAUAGCCUUUCUGACCAGGACUUACCUAGAGAAGGUAAUCUCCUUCUUCAGCUUAUGGUUGCUCUCAUGGAUCUCAGUGUUCUCCAUCUCUAAGUUGUGCAGAAUUGACAUGACCUCCUCCUCCAUUCUCUCCAGGUCUUCAUAAUAUGGAUUUGGCCUGAAGUGUGGCCUGGCCCCAAAUGAUAGAAUACAAUGAACAUCGGCAUUUAGGAAUAUAUGAACUCAGGGUGGGUCCUGUACUACCCCAGUCCUGGAAGGACACCUUCUGAAUUCUACAUAUUGGGAUCUUCUUCAGCUUCAGAAAUGUGUUUUUCUGCGUCCAGGACACCAGAAGCUCGGCAUCCAGAUGGAGGGUUCCCUGGCUCCCUUUGUUCAAUCAGGAGGAAAUCUGCAGUCACGCCAGGUAAGCUAUCAAGAGCCUAGGCCACACCUCUCCAUGCUCCCCCACCCCAACACACCCAGAAACCUGUGAUUUCUUUUUUCCUGUUUUGAUAACAGACCUUAUAUCAACACAAAAUUAUAAUCUGCACAAAGAAUACAAAUAAACAGACAAACGUGGCCA